AUUGAACGCUGGCGGCAUGCUUUACACAUGCAAGUCGAACGGUAACAGGCUUUCGGGUGCUGAUGCGUGGCGAACGGGUGCGUAAUGAAUCGGAAAGUACCCAGAGGUGGGGGUUAAGGUAGCGUAAGCUAUGCUAAUCUAACAUGUGAUCUGAGGAUGAAAGCGGGGGACGGAGCAGGAAAGUUUGGCCUCGCGCGUUUGGAGUGGCCGAUGUCGGAUUAGCUAGUUGGUGGGGUAAAGGCCAACCACGGCGACGAUCCGUAGCUGGUCUGAGAGGACGGCCAGCCACACUGGAACUGAGACACGGCCCAGACUCCUACGGGAGGCAGCAGUGGGGAAUUGUGGACAAUGGGCGCAAGCCUUAUCCAGCAAUGCCGCGUGCGGGAAGAAGGCCUUCGGGUUGUAAACCGCUUUUGGCAGGAACGAAACGGUGUCCGCUAAUACCAGGCGCUAAUGACGGUACCUGCAGAAUAAGCACCGGCUAACUACGUG
rnacentral:rRNA from 1 species